GAAAUAUUUAAUAAUUAAGCUGCUAACUUAAUUUUUAGUGAUUUACAUCAUUAAUAUUUCU
rnacentral:tRNA from 1 species